GGAGGACACAGGGACCUGGAGAAUGGGCACAGGGGAUGAAACUAUUAUUGAAUGGUUUAACCAUUUAAGGUAAGAUUGUGCAAAAAAUCUCUAGGCACCAUAACAACAUCAAUUGAGAUGUUCCUUUAAGGUGCUUUAUUUUGCAGUGUUUUAACCCCACUAUGGACUUUCUAUGCUUUUAUGGACAUUUACUAUAAAUAUACUGUAUCUCUGAAGUCCUCUGUCUUUCAGCUUAAUCGGGUGUGCAGGUGUGAGGUUACAAGCCUGUGACAUGAGCAGACCAUUCAACCUUGCAGAAUGUCCUGCUUUACCAUAUUAACUGGAAAGAAAUAAAACAACAAAGGCGGAUGUACUGUGUAGUAUCAAAAGGGUAUCUUGUAUGGUGGGAUUAAUAUAAGAGAGCGAGAUAUGGGUACUGAAGUAGAAAUAUAUUCAAGAGCUAAAAACCUACAUUUUAACCCUUUAGGGGACAUAUAUUACUUAGUACAGUCAUCACAAUCCGGUCUAUAAAUCUUGAAAUGUCCUGCCUAGUGAGCAUUGGAAACUAUUUAGCUCUGAAUUUGUUGAUUGGGAUAUGGGAUCCUUAAAGGACAAGUUUUUUAAUGAUGGUAUAUACCACCAUCUGUAGGGGUUAAUCACAAAUAUGCAUGUGUAUGUGUUUGUGUAUACAAUAUAUACAUACACAAGCGUUAUCAAAAAGCUAACAUUACACAUUUCAGGAUAGAACCUGAGGCAGUGAAAGUGUUACUGUGAGAAUACAAGAUAAGGGAAUGCCCAUUUUAAGCAAAUCCCAGUGAAAGGGGAGGCGAGUGCUGUGUGUGUGUAAAAGACAAUCAGACUGAAUCUUUCUCCAAACCUAAUCACUACAUACACCAAUCUCUGUUACACUGCACCUGCUGCCCUCCAUGAGCCAUCCUCAGACCCUGCUGCAACUCAGCAAGACACUACCAGUCAGACCUGGGCAGCCGCUCACCUGUGGAGAGGGGGUGUUUUUUUUUUGUUAGCAUUUUAGCAGCUCAGGCACAGACUGAUCCCAUUUAGGGGGUUAGUUAAACUUUAGUCACAAUGAUGUGGUUAUUGGGAAGGAGCCAUGCAUUUCUAGUGGAAUGAUCUGGAUCGUUGCUGCUCAGGAAUCCUCACCUGCUCUCUGCUGGCUACCUGUCACCCUGGAGCUUGGAACUUUCUCCACCUGAGUGGGAUUAUUUUGGAAAGGAACACAGAGAAUGUUCUUCUCAGAGCAUGACUUGCAAUGCAACUGCACUAUCUGUCCUUCGGUGACACAUUAAAGCUGAAUGAAACCUCUCUGAUUGUCUUAGGGCAAUGCAUUGGGCAUCUAAGUUAGAAAGCAGCACACCUCUCCAGGCAAGCAUGGGGACUCUACUUCCAGCAGAAUGUCCUAAUGUAUACUUCAGCUCUUGAUGCUGUGCAGGGUAAGUGACACUGAGCUGUGCACAUUCAGGUAUAUAGGCUCACUUUGGUGCUAUUAUAUAAUGAACAUAAAACACUGAGAUCAUCACUCCAUUAACGAGAAAUUAUCUAGGACUUAACCCAUUCACGACCACUGACAUCAGGACUGCCAUGAUAAUAUGGGAUUUGUUUAAAUCUGGUCAUGGGUGGGUUAACACUAUUGCAUUCUGAUCCCAUGUGUCUCUAGCUGGGGUCUAAGGACAAGUCAGCCAUGAAAUCCUAUAGAUCACGUUCCUGAAUACUUUAUCUUUAUCUGUUACAUACCUAUCUGACUAAAAGAAAGUUAUUACAUUGCUAUUUAAUAUUGCAUUAACAUACUUAUGUUGUGUAAAACGUCAAAGCAGGUGCACGUUGCUGAAUUACAUUGAAAGCAUUGUGUCAAAGCAUCUCCUGCUAUUAAUGGCCAAACAACUUAAUUGCCAAUCAAAAGGUUAAACUCCCUUUUUUUGUUAAUAGAAAAGCAUAUAAUGAACAGAUGUGCUCGGGUAUGAUAUAGUGGUUAAUGUAUAAUUUUCACAUAGUUAGUAAAUGUGUUUUUAGUGUUUGGGUGAAGUUUGUUUAAGUGUCUUAUGGGUGUCUUUAAAAUGACACAUACACAGACUGCACAAUCUUCCUAAUUUAAAACUAACUCCUUUAUCCAGAUAUUAGCAAUAAUAGUAUGCUAGUGUCGAUUAGCAAAGGAACUGUUUGUUAUUUCCCGAGAUGCAGAUAAAGGCUUGUCAGACUGGUACCCUGAAUUCUGGUUUCCUAGCAACAGCCUGAAUGAUUUUGUGGUUUAUAAAAGUGGCACUUUGGCAUGUUAACUGAAAUGAUAAAAUAUAUAUUCAAAGCUGUAUAAUGCCUACAUAAUAUCAUUUGUAGUCACAGAAUCAUCUUUCAAUGGACAAGUCUGUUUUUUAAAAGAAUAAUGCAGACUGAUUCAAAACAUCAUGCAAGCUGGGGUGUUGUGGAGUAACUCAGAAAAUGCAUUGACAGAGGACGAUUUAAGUGUUUAAUUAAUAAAGCAAGUGUCAGAACAAUUGUUUGAAAACAUUGUUAAAAUAUUGUAGUUGAAAAAUACACAAUAGUCUAUGAAGAAUUAAAGGGACCCCACCAAUAAAUAAUUGUACAUUCCAAUUUAGUUGUGUAGUAAUAAAAUGUAGCAUUUUUGAAUUAUUAUUAUUAUUAUUAUUCAUUUAUCUAUGUUAUACCAUUCAUUUCUGCAUUGCUAGCUCUGUGAUUUCUGAUAGUUUUCUCUCUAUUGAAAAUGGACAAUGGGUAUUAGGGACAAUAUUUUAGGAGAGCUGAUUAGAUUGUCCAGAAUUUUAUAUAUCUCAUUUUCUGCAGGCAUAUGUGUGAUUAGACAUAUGGAUUUUAUAUUGUGUCACAGCAGGAAAAAUAGAUUUAAAUAGUUCUGCUUAGCAGGGAGAGAUAAGAGUUCAAAAGAGAAGCAGUUGGUAGAGAAACUAUAUAGUAAUACCUUCUUAAUAUGUUCAAUCUGAAUUUCAUAGUAAUCAAAAACAUAUGCUUCACUAAUUGUUAUUUAUUUAUUUAUUUUAUUAUACAGAUGUAAUGAUUUCCCUUUAAGUAUAACAGAAUUUCAUCAUUCUGCCAAAUAUACUUUAUUGCAGAAAUUAAACACUUCUUAUAGUCACUGAUGUAAAAUUCCAACUACAUAGAUUCAUUUUUCCAAUUUAGCCUAAAAUUCAUAUUAAAUUCACUUUGAAUUCUCAACAAUUAACACUAUAGUGAAUAGCUCUUAUAACUGUUUUAAGUAGAGAAUCAAUUUGUAAACUUUUCCCUCCCCCAGCCUAAUUGGAAGAAAUCUUAUCCAGAUUGAACUCUAUGCGUUUAGCCUACAUUCUGUUAAAGGAGUUCACCUCAAUAUAACUCACUUUUAUUUUAGUAAACGAAACUCCAUUGUCAAGAUUUGCUAACAGUGCAUAUCUUCCUUGUGCCUUGUGGAGUGUUCACUAUGCAUAGAAACUGCACUUAAACCUAAAGGUCUCGUUGAGCAUGUGCCAGGUUAACAUAUUUACUGUCCACGCACAAUGCUUCUUAUGAGAUGCAUAACACAAAGUAAUUUGUGUUUGUUUAACAUAAGUAAGAAGUAUGCAAUUGUCAGAUGUAUUGAGCCAUAUGGAUUUGAAGUGUGUGUAAUCGACAAUAAAGAGAAAAACGGGAGUGGAUUUUGCCACCACUUGCAAAUCUUUGCAUGAACAAUGUACCAGCAUCCUGAUACUUAAGAUUGUGUUAAAGAAACAAAAUUAGCAUCAUUUACCAAAACAGGAAUAUAAAUAAACUACUGAAGGAAUGUUUUUGGUCUGAUAUUUUAUUUUUAUAAUGAUCAUCUUAAACGGUGAUGACUAUAGAGCAUCGUCUAAGAUCCAGCUCUUAAAUUUCUUUGAGUGUUUAGACUGUCUGGAGAUCACGCACAGAGGACAAUCCUGGGGUAAAGUUUGAAACAUGGAUUGAGCAGACACAAUUGCAUUUUUAUUGUCAAUUGCUUCACUUCUAGGAUUUGCACUUUGCACAGACCCAGUUGUGUUUUCAUUGAAGACACUCAAUAAAUAAUAAUGACAAAUGUGUGAUAUUAGGCAUUAUAUCACCAUACCUGUGCUAUAUGAACAGAUGCUGAGAUUUGAAAAUAUUACAGUCUAGUAGUGAAUCAAAUAGGUAGUGACAAGGUAAUUGUGUUUUGUGUUGCCUCAGGGGCUAACUUUCUGUCUAGGUGUGCAUCUGCUCAUGUAAUAAUGGCACAAAGACAGUGUUUGCCAACUAUAUAAAAUGAAACUGGGGGCAUCUUCAACCAUCUGAACAAAUUGCAAUAAUAGUGAACACUUUCAGAAUGAAGGGCACCAAGGAAUAGUGCACCUGGUGUGUUAGUGCACCAUUAGUUGUAGUCAUAGGCAAUGCUUGGGGAGGGGACAUUUAGGGGGCCUAAGUCCUGGAUGUGGGGCUUUAUAGCCACAGAUUUCUAUAGUUGCUGGAGGGGGGCAGGAGGAUAUGAGUGUUUCUUAUCAUUUGUAAUUUUACAUCAGGCAGCUGCAUUAAGAAGCAGUUUUCUUUAUAAAAAAGAUCAGGAAGUAUAGUGCUCUCCUAGGAUACCUAGGGAAGGGGUGACCCCCAGGUGACUGUGGGGAGAAGAGAACAUUGAUGUGCACCCCUUUAUUAUUUAGGUAAAGUGGUGGCAUUGCGUUGAAUACCUGGCUGUGUAGCAUGUGUUUGUUUCUGGCUAUAAGAUCCUGGAGAGUACCAACAACAUGCUUUACAUCAGGGGUUCUCAAACUCCGCCCCCCCAGAUGUUGCUGAACUACAACUCCCAUGAUUCUUUGAAUUGCAUAGAUAGCCAUAGAAUCAUGGGAGUUGUAGUUCAGCAACAUCUGGAGGGCCGUAAUUUGAGGACCCCUGCUUUACAUGGUAGAGAGGAGGGAACAUAACAUAACAUAACAAGAAACUGUCAGCCUCUAUCAAUAAGGCUUUCAAAGGGUUCCAUCCACAGAUAUGUGUCAUUUUAAUUGACUUUUAAAUGAAAGGAUGUUGAGAAAACAAAUCAGAUGACAUUGGAACAAGAUUCAUGUUUGAAAUUGACUCCACUCACACCUCCCUUGUUAGGAGUCUCACUACUUGUUAUUUUUUUACAACAUAAUUUCCAUACUUAUACUACUCACAAGUAUAAUGAAUAUGGGUGAAAGAAACUUCAUCUGCCCUUUAGUAGCAUGAAACCAUCUGGAACUGAAUUGUGAAGCUCGGGAUUGCCAUAAAGUAUUGCUACUUGACAGGUGACUAGAAAAGAUUUCGAAGUGGCGACCAAAAAGUACUAGGGUGUUUUUAGAAAAAUCAGAUGUAAUGAGAUACUAGAUGAGGAAUAACAGAAUAUAAAAAAAAAAAAAAAAAGUAGAGAGCCCCUGCUUAACCAGAAGGCAGCCAUAUGUAAUGUGGAGGGACAUAGUACAAGGAAGGACAUAGUACAAGGUCACUCCUAUUCUCAUCAUUUCGGUGCUUUCUACAUUUUAGUUGAGCUUCACGUUUGUGCUAACCUUCACUAGGUGGAAAACGAAAAUUCUCCAUUUGUGAAUCAAGUCUGGUCUUCUGUUCAGAAUAAUUGUCAAUGCUGGAAGCUAAUGGAGAGAGAAUGAUCUAUAAUGGGAAGGGGUGGGUGUGAUGGAAAGGGGGUGGUCUGUAACAUGAAAAAAAAAGGAUGGAUCAUAUGUAGAGGAGGGUGAUCUCUAAUGGGAAGGGGAGGAUUGGUGUAAUGAAGAGAGAGGAUAUGCAAUAUUGGGUGGAGGACAUUGGGGGCAAGGCCUAGCCAUUGAUUUUCUAAGGGGCCAAAGAUUUCUGUUGGCUGCCCUAAUCCUAACAUUUAUAUAAACCGUAGGAUCAAAGCCAAAACCAAGAUUAUGUUGAAACAGCUAAAAUGGUAACACAGUGAUAAUAAUGGUCACCCACACUGGAAAUCCAAACCUGUUGGACAUUUUCCAAACAGUCUGGUUUAUUCACUAAAUUCCAAAUUGUAGUUUAUUAAAAUUCUCAAAUAGCUGAUAUGCAAAACUGUUCUAACUCAGCUAUACUAACAGCUUGGCUCUUUUAGUCUGAAUUUUGCCAUUUUGAUUUUAAUUCACUAGAAUUCAGAGUUUAGUAAAUAAAUGCCAAGAUCUCCUUUGAAUAGCUCUACAGCUCUAAUAGCUCUAAUUCACUCGAUAAUACUGAUAAAUUUAUCAUGAAAUUUACGCUUACAUUCUGUAUUGGCCUCCAUGAUGAUAAAUAAUCUAUUACAAUUGAAUCACAAUUCUCCUAUUGGGGUCUAUAGGAAAAUACUAUUUAGUGAUAACCUCUGGUUGCAGAUACCAGCACAUUACAAAAGUAGAUAUUUUCUGAUCACAAAUAUGCAUGUUGUAUAUUGGUCACAAUAGAGAUACCUCUGAUGCUCACCUUAAAGACUUCUCUAGGGCUGCACCGUUCCUCUGGAACGGCCUUCCCCUCUCUGUUAGACUUUCACCCAAUCUCCACUCCUUCAAAAAAAUCUUUGAAAAUGGUCUUUAGGAAAGCGUAUCAAUUAUAAUGUUAACAGCUUUCCCUCCCCGCACCCUGAUUCCGCUCCUGAAACUGUCAUCAAAACAAAACACUAAGUCCUUAAUGAAUACUAUCCUAGCAACCUACUUUUCUACCUUACCCUUACCUUUUGUGUCACUCCCUCUAGCAUGUAAGCUCAUUGAGCAGGGCCCUCUAUCCCUCUGUUCCUGUGCGUCCAACUUGUCUGGUUACAAAUGUUAGUCCACCCAUUGUACAGCGCUAUGGAACUUGUUGGCGCUUCAUAAAUAAUAAUAUUAAUAAUAAUAGAGAUGCUUUAGUUAAUUAGUGCAACUAAAAUAUUUUUAUUAUAAAUACAUUUUAAUUUUAUUUAUACAUAUUUUGGUGACAAUUAUACAGCAUUGUUAACAGUAUUGUGUGCAGAAAAUAGGUAAAUCGCAGCUGUAAAAUAUCAGGUAAGAAAAAUACUCAUAAAAUAAGAUAGAAAGUGUUAAAUAAAACUCGCAUAAAUGAAGAAAAAUUGAGAAUUGGGAGUAAAAAGAAAGAGGAAAGCAUUUAAUUAUUCCACUGUUUCUGUUUCGUAAAUGCGUCAUUCAAAGCAUUUAAAAAAGAAGAUUUUGCAAUGCCUUUGCUGAUAUGACAGACACGUCCAUCAAUCACUCACAAAAAUAAUGUAGAGUCAAAUCUCUUUUUCAGUGUUUGCACAGAGACUCAUUUUACUUGUGCACAACAACAACAUUUUAGUUCUUUCAAAUAGAUUCAUCCAGAAUUUAGUUUUAGUUGUGGUGGUUCGAAAUUCGUUUGUAAGACAUCUUGGUUUGGAAAAAUUUUGUCCAUGCAAUUGUCGGGGGAAAACUAUUUGGAUGAUCCGAAAUGGCAGAAAAAUGCAACUAUAAGUGACCUGCAAAAUAUAUACAUUAUAUAUAUAUGUAUUAUGUAUAUAGUUUGCAGUACACUAGUAGGUACAUUUUUGCACCAUUUGGUUCAUAGUGAGAAGAAGUAAUCAAUAGAGGAAGGAGUAGUAAUAUUUAUAUAUUAUAUGUUUAUUGAAUAUAUGAUGUAUAAAUAUAGAUUUUUUUUUACUUGGCUACUUCUCACUUGAUCUGUGAAUUAAAUCAACAUUUAGUGCCUGUCCCCUAAACAUCAGUCAUCUUUGUUUUGUUUGUAUUUUUGUGCCAUAGUAGGAACUUUGAAUCAUGAAACAAAAGAAACAGCUCAUUCAUUCCUCAUUUCAGUUUUUCAUGAUUCAGUCGUAUGGCGAUUAACAGUUAAGGAAUUCAAACUACUCAUCAUUCAGACAAAUCACAAUUCGUUUGAACCCAAUACAUACGUCUACUCAUUAUGACAUGAGCAGGUUAUGAUGCAGGGAUCAUUUAUCCCAGUCAACAAGCCUGAGCUACCGUAUUCUAGACAAGUCUUUCUGAACAGCACUCUUAAGGUGUUAGUAACCAUGGUCAGAGUAUUCAGUAAUAGGAUAUUGCCUGCAAUCUAUUUUUAGAUGACAAUAUCAACAUUAUGUCUAUAGUUAACGGGACACUAUCAUCACCAAAACAAAUUUUGCUUAGUGAAGCAGUUUUGAUUUAUAGAUCAUGCCCCUGCAGUUUCACUGCUCAAUUAUCUGCCAUUUAGGAGUUAAAUCAAUUUGUUUAUGCAGCCCUGGGCACACCUCCCUGUAUGUGACUUGCACAGCCUUCCUAAACAAUUCCUGUAAAGAGUCAUCUAAUGUUUACACUUCCUUUUUUGCAAAUUCUGUUUAAUUUGAAAUUUCUUAUCUCCUGCUUUGUUAAUAGUUUGCUAGACCAUGCAGGAGCCUCUUGUAAAUUAUUAAAGUUUAAUUUACAGAGCAGGAGAUAAAAAUCUUUUAAAGUAAGUUACAUCUGAUUGAAAAUAAAACCACCAGGGGAGGUGUGACUAGGGCUGCAUAAACAGAAACAAAAGUGAUUUUACUGCUACAUGGCAGAGGACUGAGUAGUGAAACCUGAAGUUGUUUUGGUGAUCAUAGUGUUCCUCUAAGUUAACUAAUGGUUAAACAAAAAAGUUUAAAAUGAUGAGGAAAAAAUGCAAUAGGUCCUUUAGUCCUCAUUAUAGAGCUUACAAUAUUUUGAAGAAUUAUCAUGUGGUUAAUCUAACAGGUAUUGGAGUGGUUCCUGACUUUUGAAUCACUUGUAAAUGUAUGUAACACACAGCAACUGGACAUCACAGGCAGUUCCCAGCUGUCAGUUGUUCACAGACAUUUGGCGCUUAGAUAAGGUAAUUUUUAUUUUUCAGAACAAUAUUUCUCUCAAUGUGCACAACCCUUGUAGAGAUCUAGAUAUAUUUUAUCUUCCCUAUAAACCUUUUUCCAGUGAGUCAUAAGAGGCAAGGUCACUCCGAAAAUCAUAAGAAUAUCAGACAGGUUUGUAGUCUGAGUCAUAACAUUAAGGAAUGGUGAUAACUUAAUGGGAUUUGAUUUGUAGGAAGGAACUAUGAGAGCAGACAGCAUCAGUUUCACAAGGUUUGCAGAGAAACUUUUGGAAAGAAUGUUAAAUAUUUAAAGAAUUGCCCAACAUCUAUCUUUUGUCUUUGGUUCUUAUUCUUAAACCUUACUUUUCUUUGUUCUUCUCACACAUUAACCCUUGUAGGUGUCUCAUCCUUUCUGAACUGCUUUGAAUAAAACAUGUUCCUAAAAAGUCUGGACUAGGGCAUCAAAAGCAACGAGUACCAAAUAUAUUCAGGGUUAUUUGGUAAUCUAAAAACUGAUGAGAAUUGAGCAGGCAAAUUGCAAAACACAAUAGUUGGAUUGGAAAAAUUCUACAAUAUUCUAGGCUGGCCAUUAUGGCCUCAUAUUAUUCCCAAGAAACUUCCUGAUACUUUACUAAAUAAACCUGAGGAUGCUAAAAACUGGUGUUGCAUGACUACAUAUCACUUUACUCUAACCACUUAUUUUAUGAGCUGCAGUCAAGAGUGGGAAAAUACAGCUCCAGGCUGCAGUGCUCAAAUUAAACAAGGAAAUACAUUUUAAAUACAUUAAAUAUGUUUAAAAACUUUAUAGGUGCCUGGGUUUCCAUGCAAUCUUGCCCAAUUAUUAUAGAUCCAGUUUCUCAGUUAUAUUAACUCAAGCUGCCUGGCUCUCAUCUAAUUAUUCCCCAUCCCCAUCUCUAUAGAGAACCAGAAGAUGCUCAGCCUAAACCGGUCAGGGAAACAGGAUGAAUCUUUGCCUCCAAGCACCAAACUGCAUCACUUUGGGAGGUGAACGCUGUGGCAGCACUUUUGCCUCAGGCUGGACUUGGGGCACCUCAGGGGGCAGGACCAAGGCUUAACUCACUUUUUUGGGGUUUCAAUAUUUUUUUUUUUUUUUACAAGCACUCUAUUGGUAAGUAUAGGCCAACUUUAAGAUUACACUUUCAAUGGAUGGGACAAAAUCAACUUGAAAUGUUUUAUCUUUGUCGUUAAAGUCUUUUAUUUAGUGAAAAGACUUGUAUUUGUCCGAUAGUCAAAUUAAGCGCCAGACACAAUCGUGGAACAAUCAUAAACAUGGGUUGAUUUUCAAAUCAUAUCAAGUCAGUAUAUUUUCACUAAUAAUAAUCUACAAUUUGUGAAUGGCACACAUUUGAGCUAUAUUGCAGUAGCUCACUUGGAUGAAAUGGAAACUACAUUUAUCAACAAACACUGCCCCAGAAUUCCAUUUACAAGUCCGAUUUUUGAGAAAAGGCUUCUAAUUAUCAAUUUGGAAUCUUAAUCCUUCCCAGAAGGCAUCUGAAUGUCCAAAAAAAAAUAUAUGUAACAGGGUCAACUAACUAAAAUGUUUGUGAGUGAAACCUUGAAAAAAUUAAGAAUUAGAAAUUAUGCCUAAACUAAAUUAAAAAAUCGUAAGUGAGUAGAGCCAGAUUAGAUACACAAUAGAAGUGGGGGGUAACCCCUAAUAGAAAAUGAAAAAUACAAGAAGAGGAAUGUAUCUAAUACAUGAUGCGAGAUAUAUGCAUCAAGAGAAGGGGUUCAAAAUAGCCAACAAAAGGCCUACUAUAUAGGCCAGACAGAACCACAAAAAUGAAAGAACAAAAAAUAAUAAAGAUUUAUUGAACACUACAAAAAUGUAACCCAAAUAUGUGCUACCCUAUAAACACCUAAAAGUUAAAAUAAAAAUAUAAAUACAGGUCGUAUGAAAAUAAUAAAAACAAAAUAUAAUUGCAGAUCAAAAUAUAAGAAACUAUUACUAUCGGUAGUAGCUAGUAAUAAGUCAGGUUAGAAGAGCAGAAUGCCGAUCUAAUGGAUCAAUAAUCAGUGGUGUGGUCUGGUACUAUGGAGACCAAAACUAAGCUAGUAGAUUAAUAUAGGUCCUAUCAACCAGUGAGUGUGACAUAAUCUAGAAAGCUGUUCCUGUCCAUAGUGGCUAAUGAUGUGCCAUACAUUCAAACACCCUGGUGGUUCAACAAUAGAUUAUAAAGUCUGUUGCUUGAAAUAUCAGAAAAUGCUAUUGGACUAUAUAGGUCCUUUAAAUAUCUGAGAAGGAGUUAUAAAUAUCAAUAGAAAAAAUGAGAUCAUUAAAUGAACGUUGAGCUGAUAUUUAAACCAGUAUUGAAGUGGUUAAAGUGGUAAUCUAAAUCGAAGGAUACCACUAAUUAACUAGAUAUAAGGGGUAUAUAUAGAACGGCAGCAGCCAAUAAUCGUGGUACCGACAGUAAAGCAUACAUGAGAAUAGCUAGGAGGGAGAGAGUAGAACACAGACACAUGUAAAAGUCAACUAGCAAUAACCAGUGCUACAAAGUAUCAUAUACCAAAAUUGUCCAAUGAUACAAAAAAAAAUAAAAAAAUAUAUAGUUAACGAUAUGAGAAAAAGUAGCACCCUCUAUAUAAAUAUGUGUCCCGUGCCUUCAAGGGCACCUAGCUCCAACCCCCCAAAGAUCUAUUAGUUAAGAUAGAGCUAUAAAAAUUAAUAAGAUCUGCAAAAAUAGGAAUAAACACUAUAUAUGUUUGAAUAGAAAUAUAGAAUGAAAACAGCGCGGUCGCUAGUCUGUGUGCUGCACUAAGGAUCCAAGGAGCGCAGCACACCACAAUCCUCUGACGCGCGCGUUUCGCUACACCUAGCUCGUCAGAGAGGAAACGGGAGGUGCGUGAGCACCGGGUUUAAAAUUCCAAAGAAGUUGUUUGAUUGGUCCAGGUAAGCAGUUCCCCAUUGGUUGCCUAAAAUGACGUGACGGAAAGCAUUUGGAGAGAUAGAAUGAUCUAUGCGGCUGCAAAUAGUUAACCCUUUGGUGACAGAAUUGGGAUUUCCAAAAUCGAAAAAUAUAGCAUUUAGACUAAACUACUACACAAAUGUUUGGUAACAAAAACAGAUUUGUUUAUGCAGUUAUUAAAUACGUUUGAGUCUAUUCUGAAGUAGCUCCAUGGGUGGAGGUCAAAACGCAACCAUAAGACCCAGAAACGAUUAGAUUCCAUAAUACAUCAUUAGGACAGAUUCUUAUGUAAACAGUACAAUUCAAUGAUCAAUGAUAUAAACAUGAUGUCAUUCCGGGAGCCACCAAAUCAUAUAUUAUAAAAAUGAUCAGCCUUGUAUGGUAUAUAAGAAAAAAACAGUACAAGAGUGUCCUGAUAAGUCUUAGAUAAGGCUUAAAUAAGGAUUUAUCUAGACGGAAAACACUAUAUCAUAUAAAUAGAAAGAAUACUGAUAUAUUGAACUUAAAAUAGUGUCUAAUGUGUCUGACAAAAUAAAAAUAAAAUUGCAGAUCAAAAUAUGAAAAACUAUUACUAUCGGUAGUGGCUGGUAAUAAGUCAGGCUAGAACAGCAGAAUGCCGAUCUAAUGAAUCAAUAAUCAGUGGUGUAGUCUGGUACUAUGGAGACCAAAACUAAGCUUGUAGAUUAAUAUAGGUCAUAUCAACCAGUGAAUGUGACAUAAUCUAGAAAGCUGUUUCUGUCCAUAGUGGCUAAUAAUAUGCCAUAUAUUCAAACACCCUGGUGGUUCGACGAUAGAUUAUAAAGUCUAUUGCUUGAAAUAUCAGAAAAUGCUAUUGGGAUAUACAGGUCCUUUAAAUAUCUGAGAUGAGAUCAUAAAUAUCAGUAAGAGAAAAAUAAGAUCAUUAGAUGAACGUUGACCUGAUAUUAAAACCAGUAUUGAAGUGGCUGAAGUGGUGAUCUCAAUAAAAGGAUACCACUAAUUAGCUAGAUAUAAGGGGUAUAUAUAGAACGGCAACAGCCAGAAAUCGCUGCACCGACAGUAAAGCAUACAUGAGAAUAACUAGGAGGGAGAGAGUAGAACAAAGACACAUGUAUAGGUCAAGUAGCAAUAACCAGUGCUACAAAGUAUCAUGUACCAAGAAUAUCCAAUGAUACAAAGAAUAGUUCACGAUAUGAGAAAGGGUAACAUCCUCUAUAUAAAUAUGUGUCCCGUGCCUUCAAGGGCACCUAACUCCAACCCCCCAGAGAUCUAUUAGUCAAGAUAGAGCUAUAAAAAAUUAUAUGAUCUGCAAAAAUAGAAAUAAACGCUAUAUAUGUUUAAAUAGAAAUAUAGAGUAAAAGCAGCGCGGUCACUAGUCUGUGUGCUGUAAUGAGGAUCCAAGGAGUGCAGCACACCACAAUCCUCUAUGAAUCAUAAUAAAUGAUUAGUUUAUAUGGCUAUCCCAUGGAACAUAUACUAAUUAGAAUUAGACAUAGGUCACUAAUAAUGGCUAUGGAAAAUAUGUUAAUAUGCAGAGAGACUAUUAAUGGUUCGUUAUUAAUGUAUGAAGGGGGUAAAAUUAAACUCCUCAUUGAGCCCGUCUGGUGACAAUGUCUUUAAAAUAUAUAUCCAUCUGGACUCUUUCAUGAGAAGUAUUUUAUUAAAGUUACCCUUCCUUGUGUUUAAGGUAAGUUUCUCCAAGGCCUGGAAAGUUAAUUUAGUGGGGUCUGCCUCAUGAUAGUUGCGGACAUGAUUAGCUAUUGGGGUCGAGAUGUUCAAGUUGGUAAUUGAACAGACAUGUUGAAGUAUCCUCCGUUUAAAUUGCUGGUAGGUCUUUCCUACAUAUUGUAUACCGCAGCUGCAGGUGAUUAAAUAUAUCACCCGUGUUGAGCUGCAGUUAAUGAAUUCUUUAACCGUAUAUUCAUUUUUAGUUCUAAAGCUUCUGACAGUUUUUGUUGGUUUAAUAUACUGACAGGCUUUACAAUGCCCACAUCGAAAUACUCCAGUAGUUUGUUUUAACCAGGUGGAUUGUAAUAACUUGACAGGUUCUGUAUGACUGUGGACAAGAAUGUCUUUCAAAUUUCUUGCUCUGCGAGCAGUCAUCUGGGGAAAUUUUUCAAUACUGUCACUUAGAUCCAUAUCAUGUUGUAAAAUGGGCCAAUUCCGAGAGAUAAUUUUGCGUAUCUUAUCCCAAUAGGGAUCAUAGGUGCCAAUGCACCGAGUUGUCUUUGUUUCAGUCCUAGAUCUAGUGUUUCUCAGGCUAUCACUCCUGUUGGUCGAGAGAGCUCGUUGAUAGGCUCGUUUAAGAACCCUAUUAGGAUAGCCUUUCUUUUUAAACAUUAGUCUCAGUUUCUUUGCUUCCAAUUGGAAGGUUGAUUCGUUAGAGCAAUUUCGUCUCGCACGGAGAUAUUGGCCAUACGGUAUCCCAGAUUUUAAUUUCAUUGGAUGAUAACUUGUCCAGUUUAAUAAGCUGUUCGUUGCUGUAUCUUUUCUGAAAAGUGUGGUUCCAAUUUUACCAUCCUCCUGUAUCUGGAUAUCUAGAUCCAGAAAAACCAGAUGUUCCGAAUCUAUCACAUGUGUGAGUUUAAGGCCAAUGUUGUUAAUAUUAAGUAGAUUCACUAGAUCUUGAAAUUGUUUAAUCGACCCCAACCAAAAGACCAGGAUGUCAUCAAUAUAUCUAUGCCAACUAUAGAUAUACGUGUCAUACUGGUCUUUGGUAAUAACUGGUAAGAUGGUCUCUUCCCACCAACCUAAAUAAAGGUUGGCAUAGCUAGGGGCACAAGCCGUGCCCAUAGCUGUGCCCAUUAACUGUAAGUAGUAUUGACCAUUGAAUACAAAAAAGUUAUGAGUGAGGAUAUAUUCUAGUAACUUGAUGAUAAAAUUACUCUGUGCAGAUGUAAACUCUGAAGACUUAUUCAGAAAAUAAGAGGUAGCUUGUAUGCCUAUGGUGUGUGGAAUGUUAUUGUAAAGAGCAACAACAUCCAAACUACCUAAUAGGCAAUAUGGAGGUACCAUCAAGUUUUCCAGUAGCAACAAUGUCUGUUUGGUGUCCUGGAGGUAGGACUUUAAAUUGACCACUAAUGGAUGUAGUAGUUUCUCAAGAAAUUUGCUACCUCUUUCUGUGAUUGAGCCAUUGCCUGACACGAUUGGUCUUCCCGGUGGUUUUUCGAGAUUUUUAUGAAUUUUGGGAAGACAAUAAAAGGUGGCAAUGGUUGGAGUCAUAUUUGGAAGGAUGUAUUUUAAUUCAUCGUUACUAAUAAUACCCUCCAUUUCUGCAAUUUCCAAAAGAGAUUUUAAUUCAGUUAGGUAUUCAGUGGUUGGGUCUGUUGGCAGGCGGCGAUAUACAUCAGUGUUUUCAAGAUGUUGCAUACACAUCUCAAUAUAGUUGGCUUUAUCCAUUAACACGAUGUUCCCACCUUUAUCUGAUGACUUAAUGAUCAGAUUAGAUUCUCGACUUAGUUCAACUAGAGCCCUUCUUUCUGCCAAGGUUAAGUUGUCUUUAUAAGAGGUAGGGGGAUCUAGAGACUCAAUUUCAUUAGUAGUCAUUUUAUAUUGAGAUGUGUAUGCAACAUCUUGAAAACACUGAUGUAUAUCGCCGCCUGCCAACAGACCCAACCACUGAAUACCUAACUGAAUUAAAAUCUCUUUUGGAAAUUGCAGAAAUGGAGGGUAUUAUUAGUAACGAUGAAUUAAAAUACAUCCUUCCAAAUAUGACUCCAACCAUUGCCACCUUUUAUUGUCUUCCCAAAAUUCAUAAAAAUCUCGAAAAACCACCGGGAAGACCAAUCGUGUCAGGCAAUGGCUCAAUCACAGAAAGAGGUAGCAAAUUUCUUGAGAAACUACUACAUCCAUUAGUGGUCAAUUUAAAGUCCUACCUCCAGGACACCAAACAGACAUUGUUGCUACUGGAAAACUUGAUGGUACCUCCAUAUUGCCUAUUAGGUAGUUUGGAUGUUGUUGCUCUUUACAAUAACAUUCCACACACCAUAGGCAUACAAGCUACCUCUUACUUUCUGAAUAAGUCUUCAGAGUUUACAUCUGCACAGAGUAAUUUUAUCAUCAAGUUACUAGAAUAUAUCCUCACUCAUAACUUUUUUGUAUUCAAUGGUCAAUACUACUUACAGUUAAUGGGCACAGCUAUGGGCACGGCUUGUGCCCCUAGCUAUGCCAACCUUUAUUUAGGUUGGUGGGAAGAGACCAUCUUACCAGUUAUUACCAAAGACCAGUAUGACACGUAUAUCUAUAGUUGGCAUAGAUAUAUUGAUGACAUCCUGGUCUUUUGGUUGGGGUCGAUUAAACAAUUUCAAGAUCUAGUAAAUCUACUUAAUAUUAACAACAUUGGCCUUAAACUCACACAUGUGAUAGAUUCGGAACAUCUGUUUUUUCUGGAUCUAGAUAUCCAGAUACAGGAGGAUGGUAAAAUUGAAACCACACUUUUCAGAAAAGAUACAGCAACGAACAGCUUAUUAAACUGGACAAGUUAUCAUCCAAUGAAGUUAAAAUCUGGGAUACCGUAUGGCCAAUAUCUCCGUGCGAGACGAAAUUGCUCUAACGAAUCAACCUUCCAAUUGGAAGCAAAGAAACUGAGACUAAUGUUUAAAAAGAAGGGCUAUCCUAAUAGGGUUCUUAAACGAGCCUAUCAACGAGCUCUCUCGACCAACAGGAGUGAUAGCCUGAGAAACACUAGAUCUAGGACUGAAACAAAGACAACUCGGUGCAUUGGCACCUAUGAUCCCUAUUGGGAUAAGAUACGCAAUAUUAUCUCUCGGAAUUGGCCCAUUUUACAACAUGAUAUGGAUCUAAGUGACAGUAUUGAAAAAUUUCCCCAGAUGACUGCUCGUAGAGCAAGAAAUCUGAAAGACAUUCUUGUCCACAGUCAUACAGAACCUGUCAAGUCAUUACAAUCCACCUGGUUAGAACAAACUACUGGAGUAUUUCGAUGUGGGCAUUGUAAAGCCUGUCAGUAUAUUAAACCAACAAAAACUGUCAGAAGCUUUAGAACUAAAAAUGAAUAUACGGUUAAAGAAUUCAUUAACUGCAGCUCAACACGGGUGAUAUAUUUAAUCACCUGCAGCUGCGGUAUACAAUAUGUAGGAAAGACCUACCAGCAAUUUAAACGGAGGAUACUUCAACAUGUCUGUUCAAUUACCAACUUGAACAUCUCGACCCCAAUAGCUAAUCAUGUCCGCAACUAUCAUGAGGCAGACCCCACUAAAUUAACUUUCCAGGCCUUGGAGAAACUUACCUUAAACACAAGGAAGGGUAACUUUAAUAAAAUACUUCUCAUGAAAGAGUCCAGAUGGAUAUAUAUUUUAAAGACAUUGUCACCAGACGGGCUCAAUGAGGAGUUUAAUUUUACCCCCUUCAUACAUUAAUAACGAACCAUUAAUAGUCUCUCUGCAUAUUAACAUAUUUUCCAUAGCCAUUAUUAGUGACCUAUGUCUAAUUCUAAUUAGUAUAUGUUCCAUGGGAUAGCCAUAUAAACUAAUUAUUUAUUAUGAUUCAUAGAGGAUUAUGGUGUGCUGCACUCCUUGGAUCCUCAUUACAGCACACAGACUAGUGACCGCGCUACUUUUACUCUAUAUUUCUAUUUAAACAUAUAUAGCGUUUAUUUCUAUUUUUGCAGAUCAUAUAAUUUUUUAUAGCUCUAUCUUGACUAAUAGAUCUCUGGGGGGUUUGAGUUAGGUGCCCUUGAAGGCACAGGACACAUAUUUAUAUAGAGGAUGUUACCCUUUCCCAUAUCGUGAACUAUUCUUUGUAUCAUUGGAUAGUCUUGGCACAUGAUACUUUGUAGCACUGGUUAUCGCUACUUGACCUACACAUGUGUCUUUGUUCUACUCUCUCCCUCCUAGUUAUUCUCAUGUAUGCUUUACUGUCGGUACAGCAAUUUCAGGCUGUUGCCGUUCUAUAUAUACCCCUUAUAUUUAGCUAAUUAGUGGUAUCCUUUUAUUGAGAUCACCACUUCAGCUACUGGUUUUCAUAUCAGCUUAACGUUCAUCUAAUGAUCUUAUUUUUCUCUUACUGAUAUUUAUGAUCUCAUCUCAGAUAUUUAAAGGACCUGUAUAGCCCAAUAGCAUUUUCUGAUAUUUCCAGCAAUAGACUUUAUAAUCUAUCGUCGAACCACCAGGGUGUUUGAAUAUAUGGCAUAUUAUUAGCCACUAUGGACAGAAACAGCUUUCUAGAUUAUGUCACAUUCACUGGUUGAUAUGACCUAUAUUAAUCUACAAGCUUAGUUUUGGUCUCCAUAGUACCAGACUACACCACUGAUUAUUGAUUCAUUAGAUCGGCAUUCUGCUGUUCUAGCCUGACUUAUUACCAGUCACUACCGAUAGUAAUAGUUUUUUCAACUUUAUUUUGUCAGACACAUCAGACACUAUUUUAAGUUCAAUAUAUCAGUAUUCUUUCUAUUUAUAUGAUAUAGUGUUUUCUGUCUAGAUAAAUCCUUAUUUAAGCCUUAUCUAAGACUUAUCAGGACACUCUUGUACUGUUUUUUUCUUAUAUACCAUACAAGGCUGAUCAUUUUUAUAAUAUAUGAUUUGGUGGCUCCCGGAAUGACAUCAAGUUUAUAUUAUUGAGCAUUGAAUUGCACUGUUUACAUAAGAAUCUGUCCAAAUGAUGUAUUAUGGAAUCUAAUUGUUUCUGGGUCUUAUGGUUGCGUUUUGACCUCCACCCAUGGAGCUACUUCAGAAUAGACUCAAACGUAUUUGAUAACUGCAUAAACAAAUCUGUUUUUGUUACCAAACAUUUGUGUAGUAGUUUAGUCUAAAUGUUAUAUUUUUUCGAUUUUGGAAAUCCCAAUUCUGUCACCAAAGGGUUAACUAUUUGCAGCCGCAUAGAUCAUUCUAUCUCUCCAAAUGCUUUCCGUCACGUCAUUUUAGGCAACCAAUGGGAAACUGCUUACCUGGACCAAUCAAACAACUUCUUGGGAAUUUUAAACCCGGUGCUCACGCACCUCCCGUUUCCUCUCUGACGAGCUAGGUGUAGCGAAACGCGCGCGUCAGAGGAUUGUAGUGUGCUGCGCUUCUUGGAUCCUUAGCGCAGCACACAGACUAGCGACCGCGCUGUUUUCAUUCUAUAUUUCUAUUCAAACAUAUAUAGUGUUUAUUCCUAUUUUUGCAGAUCUUAUUAAUUUUUAUAGCUCUAUCUUAACUAACUAACUAACUAAUAGAUCUUUGGGGGGUUGGAGCUAGGUGCCCUUGAAGGCACGGGACACAUAUUUAUAUAGAGGGUGCUACUUUUUCUCAUAUCGUUAACUAUAUAUUUUUUUAUUUUUUUUUGUAUCAUUGGACAAUUUUGGUAUAUGAUACUUUGUAGCACUGGUUAUUGCUAGUUGACUUUUACAUGUGUCUGUGUUCUACUCUCUCCCUCCUAGCUAUUCUCAUGUAUGCUUUACUGUCGGUACCACGAUUAUUGGCUGCUGCCGUUCUAUAUAUACCCCUUAUAUCUAGUUAAUUAGUGGUAUCCUUCGAUUUAGAUUACCACUUUAACCACUUCAAUACUGGUUUAAAUAUCAGCUCAACGUUCAUUUAAUGAUCUCAUUUUUUCUAUUGAUAUUUAUAACUCCUUCUCAGAUAUUUAAAGGACCUAUAUAGUCCAAUAGCAUUUUCUGAUAUUUCAAGCAACAGACUUUAUAAUCUAUUGUUGAACCACCAGGGUGUUUGAAUGUAUGGCACAUCAUUAGCCACUAUGGACAGGAACAGCUUUCUAGAUUAUGUCACACUCACUGGUUGAUAGGACCUAUAUUAAUCUACUAGCUUAGUUUUGGUCUCCAUAGUACCAGACCACACCACUGAUUAUUGAUCCAUUAGAUCGGCAUUCUGCUCUUCUAACCUGACUUAUUACUAGCUACUACCGAUAGUAAUAGUUUCUUAUAUUUUGAUCUGCAAUUAUAUUUUGUUUUUAUUAUUUUCAUACGACCUGUAUUUAUAUUUUUAUUUUAACUUUUAGGUGUUUAUAGGGUAGCACAUAUUUGGGUUACAUUUUUGUAGUGUUCAAUAAAUCUUUAUUAUUUUUUGUUCUUUCAUUUUUGUGGUUCUGUCUGGCCUAUAUAGUAGGCCUUUUGUUGGCUAUUUUGAACCCCUUCUCUUGAUGCAUAUAUCUCGCAUCAUGUAUUAGAUACAUUCCUCUUCUUGUAUUUUUAAAUUAAAAAAUCAAUUUGCUGAUUACUCGAGCAGCCAGCAGGAAGACUGAAAAAAUAUUUUUAUAAAAAUAAACUCUUUCCUUCUUAAAGCAGAAUGCCCCAUUUUAAAUUUUUUUCAUUAUUGCCCCAUUAAUUAUACCACAUGCCACCAACACUUCAACUGCACAAAGAGGACAUUUUAAUUUUAGGGGUGUGAGUUGGGGUGUGGCCACAGGCAGGGCUGUUAUGAAAAUUUUUAGGUGUCUUACAAAUAACAAAUAUAAAACUAAAAUGUAACUUUAAACAAUAACAAUGUAUCUUAUUUACACAUACUGAUUCCUUAAAGGAUCACUAUAGGGUCAGGAACACAAACAUGUAUUCCUGACCCUAUAGUGUUUAACCCACCAGUUAGGUGGCUUGCCCCCCUAUAAAAAUAUAAAACUCACCUUACUUCCAGUGCCACGCUGGUCCGCUGGCGUUUGCUCAGCUCCCUUUGUGACAUCAUCAAAAUGGCCGAUUUUUAGCCAAUCCAAUGAUUAUCUAAAAUCGGCAUGGGGCGGGGCCAAAUGCUGUUUUGGCCAAUCAGGACAUCCUCAUAGAGAUGCAUUGAAUCAAUGCAUCUCUAUGAGGAAAAUUCAGCGUCUCCAUGCAGAGCGUGGGGACGCUGAACAGCAAUGCUGCUUAUUGUGCAGCACUGGGUCAGGAAGCCCCUCCAGUGGCCAUCUGAGGAGUGGUCACUUGGAGGUGUCCCUAGGGCCAAUGUAAACACUGCCUUUUCUCUGUUUACAUGAAAAUGCCUGAAGGGAGCUAUUAUAUUCACCAGAACAACUACAUUAAGCUGUAGUUGUUCUGAUGACUAUAGUGCCCCUUUAAACCCACUCAUUGUGCAAUUUACAGACACAUUUCUGUGAGUAUUAUUGCUGUGGAGCCUUGUUAUACACUCAGACACACCAAUAAUAUAGAGUUCCUAGAAAAGAGGUAUAUUUGGAUAGUAAAAGAGGGACAGAGGGAUUUGGGCCCAGAGUGUGGACUGUCCCUCCUAAAUAGGGAUACUUGCGUUAUACAGUGAGGGGGGGAAAGUAUUUGAUCCCCUGCUGAUUUUGAACGUUUGCCCACUGACAAAGAAAUGCCUUACCCAAUAUUGUUGAAUGGGUAAGACAGUGGCUGAGUGACAGGAAACAGAGGGUUGUAGUUAAUGGAAUAUAUUCAAAGCUUGGACUUGUCACCAGUGGGGUACCCCAGGGAUCCGUACUUGGACCCAUUCUCUUUAAUAUUUUUAUUAGUGAUAUUGCAGACGGUCUUGAUGGUAAGGUAUGUCUUUUUGCUGAUGAUACUAAGAUAUGUAACAGGGUUGAUGUUCCAGGAGGGAUAAGCCAAAUGACAAAUGAUUUAGGUAAACUAGAAAUAUGGUCAGAAUUGUGGCAACUGACAUUUAAUGUGGAUAAGUGCAAGAUAAUGCAUCUUGGGCGUAAAAACCCAAGGGCAGAGUACAGAAUAUUUGAUAGAGUUCUAACCUCAACAUAUGAGGAAAGGGAUUUAGGGGUGAUUAUUUCUGAUGACUUUAAGGUAGGCAGACAAUGUAAUAGAGCAGCAGGAAAUGCUAGCAGAAUGCUUGGUUGUAAAGGGAGAGGUAUUAGCAGUAGAAAGAGGAAAGUGCUCAUGCCAUUGUACAGAACACUGGUGAGACCUCACUUGCAGUAUUGUACACAGUACUGGAGACCGUAUCUUCAGAAGGAUAUUGAUACCUUAGAGAGGGUUCAGAGAAGGGCUACUAAACUGGUUCAUGGAUUGCGGGAUAAAACUUACCAGGAAAGGUUAAAGGAUCUUAACAUGUAUAGCUUGGAGGAAAGACGAGACAGGAGGGAUAUGAUAGAAACAUUUAAAUAUAUAAAGGGAAUCAACACAGUAAAGGAGGAGACUAUAUUUAAAGAAGAAAAACUACCACAACAAGAGGACAUAGUCUUAAAUUAGAGGGACAGAGGUUUAAAAAUAAUAUCAGGAAGUAUUACUUUACUGAGAGGGUAGUGGAUGCAUAGCAUAGCCUUCCAGCUGAAGUGGUAGAGGUUAACAUAGUAAAGGAGUUUAAGCAUGCGUGGGAUAGGCAUAAGGCUAUCCUAACUAUAAGAUAAGGCUAGGGACUAAUGAAAGUAUUUAGAAAAUUGGGCAGACUAGAUGGGCCGAAUGGUUCUUAUCUGCCGUCACAUUCUAUGUUUCUAUGUCUAUAAUUUUAAUGGUAGAUGUAUUUUAACAGUGAGAGACAGAAUACCCCCAAAAAAAUUUAAAUCCAGGAAAACGCAUGUCAAAAAAGUUAUAAAUUGAUUUGCAUGUCAAUGAGUGAAAUAAGUAUUUGACCCACUUGACUUAGUACUUGGUGGCAAAACCCUUGUUGGCAACCACAGAGGUCAGACAUUGGCCACCAGGUUUGCACACAUCUCAGGAGGGAUUUUGUCCCACUCCUCUUUGCAGAUCCUCUCCAAGUCAUUAAGGUUUUGAGGCUAACAUUUGGCAACUCGAACCUUCAGCUCCCUCCACAGAUUGUCUAUUGGAUUAAGGUCUGGAGACUGGCUAGGCCACUCCAAGACCUUAAUGUGCUUCUUCUUGAGCCACUCUUUUGUAGUUUUGGCUGUGAUUUUUGGGUCAUUGUCAUGCUAGAAUACCUAUCCAUGACCCAUUUUCAUUGCCCUGGCUCAGGGAAGGAGGUUCUCACCCAAGAUUUGACAGUACAUGGCCCCAUCCAUCGUCCAUUUGAUGCAGUGCAGUUGUCCUGUCCCCUCAGCAGAAAAACACACCCAAAGCAUAAUAUUUCCACCUCCAUGUUUGACGGUGGGGAUCAUAGGCAGCAUUCCUCCUCCUCCAAACACGGAAAGUUGACUUGAUGCCAAAGAGCUCGAAUUUGGUCUCAUAUGAUCACAUCACUUUCACCCAGUUCACCUCUAAAUCAUUCAGAUGUUCAUUGGCAAACUUCAGACUGGCCUGUAAAUGUGCUUUUUUGAGCAUGUGGACCUUGCGGGCGCUGCACGAUUUCAGUUCUUCACGGAGUAGUGUGUUACCAAUUGUUUUCUUGGUGACUAUGGUCCCAGCUGCCUUGAGAUCAUUAACAAGAUCCGCCAGUGUAAUUCUGGGCUGAUUCCUCACUGUUCUCAUGAUCAUUGAUACUCCACGAGGUGAGAUCUUGCAUGGAGCACCAGACCGAGGGAGACUCACAGUUAUUUGUGUUUCUUCCAUUUGUGAAUAAUCGCACCAACUGUUGUCACCUUUUCACCAAGCUGCUUGGCGAUGGUCUUGUAGCCCAUUCCAACCUUGUGUAGAUCUACAAUCUUGUCCCUGACAUCCUUGGACAGGUCUUGGCCAUGGUGGAGAGUUUGGAAUCUGAUUGAUUGUUUGCUUCUGUGGACUGGUGUCUUUUAUGAAAAUCACAGUGAAAAUCACAGUGAGAAGAUGCUGGACAUCCAUAGGAAAGCAUUGAGUAAUGCGUUCCUAUGGGCAGUCUGAAUGCGCGCACUGCUCUUGCCGUGCAUGCGCAUUCAGCGCUGAUGUCGGCAGGAGGAGGAGAGUUCCCCAGGGCGGAGGGAGCCCGGCACUGGAGAAAGGUAAGUGGCUGAAUGGGGUCUUAACCCCUUCAGCCCAGCCGGAGGGGGACCUUGAGCGUGGGGGGGACCUAAUGACCCUAUAGUGCCAGUUCAACGAGUUUGUUUUCCUGGCACUAUACUGCUCCUUUAAGAGAGUGCUCCUAAUCUCAGAUUGUUACCUGUUUAAAAAGACAUCUGGGAGCCAGAAAUCUUGCUGAUUGAUAGGGGAUUGAAUACUUUCUAGGGAUGUGUAUGGGCAAAAAAUUUGUUUCGGCACUUCUGAAAUUCGGGACUACUGCAAUUUGGACAUUUCUAAGCAUCCCUCUCUUGCCACCACAACCACUUACACAUCUUUAGGGCUCCCUAACCCCUAACCCAACCCAUUCAUUGCAGUCCCUGGUGUAUAGUUGUUGGGUAAGCUGGGACUCCUUCUUGCUUCCCCUCAGUGUGCAGUAGUAAUCAGGCAGCAGGUUCAGGACACAUUUAGCCCCUCUGUAUAUUUAGCUCCACCCAUUGUGUGUUUAACUCUGCCUAUAGCAUAUUUAGCUCUACCCCACCGCCCUCCCUUUUUUGUGUUCCUGUUUUUGAAAUGCUGACACUACAUCUGGCGCCCCUGCUGCCAUGUGCUGAAGCACAGCUCAAACACUGAUACUCUGCACUAGGGACCUCACUGACAAAACAUACCCUACCAUUGCUAAAACUGUACUACUUCUAACAGCAGUACAGUACUGGAAGAACCAAUUUUUAUGAGAAACUAUGUCUCUUUAGUAUUGGGAUUUCCAGGCUAGCUAUGACCAAAAUAGUCCAAAAUAUAUGCAGGAUAUUUUCUUUUCAACUCUGCUACCUUUCACAGAAUAUUGAGAGAAAAUGACAACUUACCAUUACUCACUGUUUAGUAAAUAAACUCCACUGAUACAUAUUUUAGUAUUGUUAAUUACAAAGGUUAAGCGUUUAAUGUCCACACAAUUUGAAGUGUCCUAAAUUCCUGGUUAACGAAUCCUUUUUGCUCUUUAGGAGAAACACCAUUUUGUAAGCUCCAUUUAAUGCAUUUUAUGUUUACAGGAAAAUAUUCUUUUAUUCUGAAUUAAAACAAAAUAUUUCAUUUAUUUUUGCCUAUUUGUGUAUUUUUUUUUGUAAUAAGUAAAUACCUCUUUUAUUCUACAGUCAGAAGUACUUCUUAUCGACUGAAAUUGUGUACGUAAUCUAGAGAAAAUGUGUUUUUAUGAAUGUUGGCAUUGUGUACAAGCACAGGGCAUCUCAGGAAUGUAGUUUCAUACUUUCAGAUUGUGUAUAGUUUUGUAGAUAAGUGGUGCUUGUGGUCGAAAUGGGCUUAAAAUGGCUGUUCCCAGGGAGCAGGGUGAAAUCAGGAGAUUCACUGAAAAGGCAUCAAGUUUUACACAUUCAUUAAAAAUUAAUGCAUUACAAGCUUGUAGUACAUGUAAUUUUUUAUUUUGAGCACUAAUGAAAAAAUUAUGACAGUUUUUCUUUAAGGCUUUGGUGACCUGGGAAUUGAUAUCAUGUACGGGGUCUCUUUAAUUCUAUUGCAGUUUGCAGUCAUUAGUAAGCCUGACCACAAGGUUCCAUCAAUGAAAGUGGUGGAGAGAAAGAUGAGCACAUCAAAAACAUUUGAUCUACUGCCCUAAAUGCUGCUUUCUCCAAAGAAGCAAUGUAAGAUUUUUUACAAAAUAAAAACAAAUAUUUUGAAUACAAAAUUUUAAUUUUAUGGGAAAAUAUUUAGUUCAGAUGCUGAAAAGAGGUUUGAGAAUAAUAAUGAAAAAAAAAAUUAUAACUAGUGUUUUCGUUAUAACAGUUAUUUUUUUUUUAUAUUUAGAGCUUGUCAAAAAUAUUUAAUUAAAUAAAUCAUUUUUAAAUGUUAAUUUGUUUUUGUUUUUUAAAUUAAAUGUUAAUUAUACGUAAACAAUUAAAAUAUAUAUUUUUAAAAUAGAGAUAAAUGUAGCAGAAUUUUAAUAUAUAUGUAGACCAUAUAAAAAUGCUAAUGCACUUAAAUAAAAUGAAUUUUACUCUGCUCUGUAUUAUAGAAGUGAUGAAUUUGUCUCACAAUUACAUCUGAUCAUUUUCUUAUUGAAUUGUAGCCUUGUGCACUUACAUGGCAAUUUGUUUUCCUAGUGCUAUUUCCUGUUACGAGAAUGCAGAACAUAUAUGUAUAUACAGAGCGUUAAGAUUUCCCAAUCCCUGGACAAUAAGAAUAAAGCAGUUCACACUCUAAUUCUCCCAAAUGAUCCCUAACAUAUCUGACAGCGAAGAUUUGUGGAAGGAGCUUCUGUUCGCAAUUUUGUGCUUCUGGGCACCUCGUGAAAGAUUUCAGAGAAAUCUAAUGUUAGCAGUAGCAGAAAUUGAUAAAUUAAAUCUCGAACUUGCAGCAUAACCAAAUCAAAUAUCUUUAUUCCAAAAUCGUAAGAAAAAAAAAAAGUUAAAUUAUUUUUUGUAGUAAAGGCAAUGUUAAUAUAUGUAUGUUUAACAUUAUAUUUAUUUUAAUAAUUGUCUAUACCUGUUUCUCGUAUAUUUAUUUUUUUAUAAAUAUUAGAAACUUUUAAAGUUUAGUUAAAAAAGGCAUUAAGCCCUCUUUUCAAUUAAGAAAGUUUUUGGUCUUUGUUAUCUAUGUCAAAUAUAUCAGGAGUUAUAUACUUCAGAGAGUAGGAGUGUAUUCAUUCUGAAUCAAGAAUACUAAUGUCAAAAUAGAGAGUAUACAAUAAGUAUUUCUCUUCAAAAAUUCAUUUCUUAAGAAAUGUAGCAAUGAUUUAUUAUUUCACAAAUAUUCACCUGGCAUGUUAAGGAAAAGUAAGGUAAUUAGCACAGACUAAGGAAGACAGCAUUUUUAAAUAAUUAAUUUCAAUCAAUAAAAAAAAUUGAGAAAAAAUGUAAUGCAGAAUAUUAAAUAUCAGAUAUGUUUUACAACAUGAUCCUGAGUAAAAACUAUGUGCAAGUAUGCAAAAAGUGUUUGAUUAAAAAUGAAAACAUGCAAUUGUAUACACUGAUCUGCUACAACAUUAAAACCACUGACAGGUGAAGUGGUGAAUAACAUUGAUUAUAUCGUUACAAUGGCAGCUCUCAAGGGGUGGGGUAUAUUGGGCAGUAAAUGAACAGUCAGUUCUUGCAUUUCAUGUGUUGGAAGCAGGACAAAUGGGCAAGUGAAAAGAUCUGAGUGACUUUGACAAUGGCCAAAUAGUGAGGACUAGACGACUGGGUCAGAGAAUUUACAAAACAUCAAGUCUUGUGGGGUGUCCCCAAUAUGCAGUGAUUAGUACCUACCAAAAGUGAUGCAAGGAAGGACAACCAGUAAACUGGCGUUAGGUUCAUGGGAGUCCACGGCUCAUUGAUGCAUGUGGGAAUUGAAGGCUAGCCUGUCAGUUCUGAUCACAAAGAAGAGCUACUGUAGCUCAAAUUGCUGAACACUUUAAUGCUGGCUGUGAUAGAAAGGUGUUAGAACAAACAGUGCAUCGCAGUUUGCUGAAAAUAGGCUGCAUAGCAACAGACUAGUCACAGUGUCCCUGAUGAUCUACCACCUAAAGAGCCUUCAAUGGGGAUGUGAGCAUCAGAACUGGACCAUGUUGCCUCGUCUGAUGAAUCAUGUUUUCUUUUAGAUCAUGUGAAUGUCCAGGUGUGUGCAUCAGGAUGCACUAUGGGAAAAAAAAGCAGGCUGGCAGAGGCAGUGUUAUGCUCUGGGCAAUGUUCUGCUGUGAAACCUUGUGUCCUGGUAUUCACGUAGAUGUUUCUUUGACACGUACCACCUACCUAGAGAAUGUUGCAGACCACGUACACGUCUUCAUGGCAAUGUUGUUCCCUAUUGGCAGUGGCCUUUUUCAGCAGGAUAAUGCACAAUGCUGCACUGCCAAAAUUGUUCAGGAAUGGUUUGUGAAACAUGACAAGUGUUCAAGGUGUUGCAUUGGAGUCCAAAUUCCCCAGAUCUCAAUCCGAUUUGAGCAUCUGUGUGAUGUCCAGGAACAACAAAUUCGGUCCAUGGAGGCCUCACCUUGCAACUUGCAGGACUUAAAGGAUCUGCUGCUAAUGUCCUGGUGCCAGAGGUCUUGUUGAUUCAGAGCUGUUUGGGCAACACAGGGGGACCUACAUGAUAUUAGGCAGUUGGUUUUAAUGUUGUGGCUGAUCAGUGUGUAUUUGCCUCUCAUCAUAGAUUUGACCGUUGGAAACACAGAAAGCUAUAGGAAUACAAGCUAUUUUCAAAUUAAACUUAGAACGAUAUAAUCAAAGACGAUAUAGACGAUAUAAUCAAAUUAGUCAUUAGAAAUUAAAGGAAAACUGUAACCUCCUAGUUUUUUUAGUAUUAUGUUAACUUAUCCCUAUAUUUAACACACAUGUAUCUGAGGUGUAAAAAAAUGAUGAUUUUUUUUUUUCAUGAUUAUGUUCUUUAUUUGAAAAGGUCUUUCUUUUCCUUAUCUAUUUUUCACAUUACAAUACAAGACGGUACAAAUACAUAAAACAGACUACAUAUUAUAUUUGCAUAAAUUCUUGUCAUGACUAGCAUUUCAUAAAUAGACAAAGACGAAAUACGUAUACAUUUGGUGCAGACAACCAGUAACCCAGCAGAGCAUCAAUGUUAUACUUAUUAGAAUAUUUUUCCUUUCUUUCCCCUUUCAUUUUCUUUUCUUUUCCUUGCCUUUCCCUUUGCUUUCCCCUUCUUUCUUUCCCUUUUCCUUUUUCUUUUCUUGUUUUGACAUGUCUGAUUCUACUCAGAGGGGUAGUUUGUAGGCUAUGGGAAUACUGUGUUUACCCAGAUUCACUUGAAGAGACCAUUACCAUUAAAUAUGAGAAUUUAAAAGAUUAAAGUUACAUAGUUACAUAGCUGAAAAGAGACUUGCGUCCAUCAAGUUCAGCCUUCCUCACAAAUGUUGUUGCUGUUGAUCCAAAAGAAGGCAAAAGACCUGGUCUGAAGCGCUUCCAAUUUUGCCACAAACUAGGAAAAAAUUCCUUCUUGACCCCAAAAAAGCAUUCAGAUGUCUCCUUGGAUCAAGCAGCUAUUACCCCACUAAUUAGAAAUCAUAUCCCUGUAUGUUAUGUUUUUGUAAGUAUUUAUCCAAUUUCAGUUUAAACAUCUGUAUGGACUCUGACAAAACCACCUCUUCAGGCAGAGAAUUCCAUAUCCUUAUUGUUCUUACUGUAAAAAAACCUUUUCUUUGCCUUAUGUGUGACCUCGUGUCCUAUGUAUAGCCCUGUUUAUGGGAAUAGAUUUCCAGAUAAAGGUUUGUACACGGCUGAAUAUAUUUGGCCUUGAGGUUAUCAUAUCCUCUCAGGCGCGUUUUUCCAAACUAAACAGAUUAAAUUUUUUUAACCUUUCUUCGCGGCUUCACAAAUGCUCCGUUCCUUUUUGUAUCAAUUUUGUAGCUUCGUCUCUGGACCCUCUCAGUGCCAUGAUAUCGCUUCUUUAGGAGCAAGCCCAAAAUUGCACAGCAUAUUCAAAGCGUGAAGUGAUUUAUAAAGAGGCAAAAUUAUAUUUUCAUCCGAAUUUGCCCCUAUUUAUACAUGACAAAAUCCUACUGGCCUUAGCAACUGCAGAUUGACAUUGCAUAUUGCUGCCUAAUUUGUUGUCUAUAACAAUUCCCAAAUCCUUCUCGUGUGUGGUUAUCCCUAAUUCACUACCAUUUAGUGUGUAAGUUGCUUGUGCAUUCUUAACCCCGAAGUGCAUAACUUUGCAUUUCUCUAUGUUAAAUUUCAUCUGCCAUUUUAGUGCCCAGUCCCCAAUCUAUCCAAAUCCCUCUGCAGCAAAGCAAUAUCCUGCUCACAUUUUAUUACUUUACAAAGUUUUGUGUCAUCUGCAAACACUGAUACAUGGCUUUCAAUGCCUAUUUCAAGAUCAUUUAUAAAUAUGUUAAAUAAAAGCGAUCCCAAAACAGAACCUGAGGGACACCACUUACUACUUUUGUCCAGCCUGAAAAUUUUGCCGUGCAGUACAACUCGUUGUACUCUAUCCUUAAACCAAUGUUCUACAAAAGAACAAGAAUAUUCAUCUAGACCAAUUUCUUUUAGUUUGAAGACUAACCUAUUGUGAGGAACCGUAUCAAAUGCCUUGGCAAAAUCCAAGUAGAUCACAUCCACUGCAACACCCUGAUCUAUACUUCUACUUACUUCUUCAUAGAAUGCAAUUAGGUUAGUUUGACAUGACCUAUGUUUCAUAAAACCAUGCUGAUUAUUGCUAAUAACAAAGUUCUUCCCAAUGAAUUCUUGAAUAUUAUCGCUUAAUAGCCCUUCAAAUAUUUUCCCAGUUACAGAAAUUAAGCUCACAGGUCUAUAAUUUCCAGGCAAGGAUUUUGAUCCCUUUUUAAAUAUAGGAACAACAUCUGCCUUCCUCCAAUCCUCCGGUACAACACCUGAAACAAAAGAAUCUUGAAGAAUUAAAUACAGAGGUUCACUUAUUUAACCACUUAGUAUAAAGGCUUAACUAGAUUAAGGUCCCUAAAUAGGGAAACCAUCUUUGUUUCAUAGCUCAGUCUCCUCCUGAUUGUAUGAAAAUACCACUUUCCAUAUUACAUUUAAGUUGAAGCAGGACCUGGGACCAAUUAGGGACAGUUUGCUGCAGCCAAAAUCUUGAUAGCACUUUUAUGGCCAUUAUAAAUUGUAUUAUUAGACAUCUUUUGGUGAGAAACAUCUAGAUAGAUUGGAAUGAAAAAAAGCGACCAUAUAAUUAAGAUUCAUAUCUUCCUGAUUCAAUCGUAAAAUUUCUUUUGAGGCUUUUUUCCAUAAGGGUGUAAUCAAUGUACAGUUCCACCAAAUGUGCUUGGAACAGCCAACUUCACUGUUACAGGUCUCCUUUGUUACACAUGGAUACUUCAAUUUUAAACCAAGGGUCUUCUCUUGAACUCGGGUCCUGCCUGUCACAGCUUACCUGAGGUGGGAGACCGGUAGGCAGAGAUAUAUGCUAACCCUUACAAUUAAACACAGACCAAGGUGGUCAGGUAAGAAUUCACCUGGUCUGUAAGUCUGUGCACAGGGGCUGUGCAGGAUAUUGCUCCAAGUCGCAGUACAGCAAGGACAGAGACAGGAGAAACGUCAAGGAUAAGCCAAAAGUCAGAGGGUAUCAGAAGUCAGGAUACACGAUAAGAAAGCCAAGGUCAGGAGCCGACUGGAGAACACUGGACCAUGAAUACAAAUACAGGAAAUAGAGUCAACGAACUGACACUGCCCUCACGGAGAGGCAGUGUCUUAUACCUGGCUAAUCAGAGAUACUUUACAGGUGGACCAUGAUUGACAGGAGCAGUCACAGGUUAAGUCCAGCCCCCAGUGCUGGAGACAUGGCAGGGCUAAGUUUCAGGCCAAACCAAAAACUAUAGUGGCUUAGAGGCAGGAACACAGGCUUAGAACCAUAAACCACCCAGGUUCAAAGCCCCUGUUGGGCACUUCUGGGGCGACCUCGUCUGGCUGUCACGGUGAGAAACGUGACAUUGCCAUCUCCGCAGAUGAAAUAUUCUACUGGCUUCAUACUAUUUUAUGAUAUUUGGAACCACAAUAUACCUCUAUUUGCUCUCUUCAUUAUAUGAGAAGCAGGGAUUCUUGGUCUCUUUUGCCCCAAAUAUAACUCCUAAAAAUACUGUGUAUUUGCCUAAGUCUCCAUCGUAAUAUAGACAAGGGAAUCAUUCUGAAAAGAUAUGACCAGUUAUGUAAAACAGGAUUUGAUUAUGUUAAUUCUACCCAGCUAUGAGAUACCCAUGUGCUUCCAUGUAUUUAAUAAGUUAUGACUAGUCUCUUUAAAUGGAAUAUCAAAAUUUUUAUCUGCUAUCUCAUUUGUUUUUGAGGAGAAAUAGAUUCCUAAAUAUUUAACCCCUUAAGGACACAUGACGGACAUAUUCCGUCAUGAUUUCCUUUUAUUUCAGAAGUUGGAUCCUUAAUGGGUUAAAGCCAUGCGGAGACUAUAUAAAAGGAUAUAUAGAUUGUAAAUAGGAGAUUUCAAUAUGUUCUAGAUUAAUUGGCAUAAUUUGAGAUUUGUCGAUGUUUAAUUUGUAGUUGGAGACUUAACUGUAGUUUCCUAUCUCUAAAAUUAAUGCCCUAAAAAAUGAUACUGGGUCUUUUAAAGUUAGAAUUAUAUCAUCCACGUACAUGAUAAUUUUUAAUUUGAGACGAUCUAUUUUAAAGCCUUUAUUUGAGAAUUAGAUCUUAUCCUUUUGGCAAGGCGUUCAAGAGUCAAUAUAUAUAGAAGGGGUGCAGGGGGACAUCCCUGCCUCGUUCCAUUUUUUUUAUUUUAAACCAGUCAGCGGAGAUGCCAGGACCACCAUUUUAGCCACUGGUUCUGUAUAGAUUGCCAUUAUAGCAGUUUUUAUAGCAGAUAUCCCCCACCUGUCCAGGGUGGGGGGUAUGGUUGGGAUAGGAGUGGAGCUGGUAUACUCUGCAAACCGGAGAGUGGGGAGAUUGGCCGUCUCUCUCCCUCUCAGUCCUUAGUAGGCCACAACAAAGUUUUCAUGGUUCCCGACAGUGUAGAGUGUCAGGUGAGGCAUCAGGAAGCUCGCCCAAGAAUCCCUGACUUAGGCAGUGCACUGAUUAGGUUUUGUGGCUUGGUGGCCAGGCUUAGCACACCAAAUAUGGCCCAAAUUGUCAGGCGCUUUAAUUUGCGAAGAAAGACACCUCAACUUCAACCAAUCUCAUGAUAUGCUCCAUUAGAGACUUUAGAAACAACUAUUACCAAGUUAGAUAUCUCAGGCUGGGUGAUGGCUGGUGUGGAAACUAUCAAUCAUAUGCUAAGAGGAGACACCAUAUUGCCCUUUGCUUCUUUACAGUAACAAUAUAAUAUUCCACACCGUGAUUUUUACAAAUAGGAUUCGGCAUUGUCUGGCGUCUUUAACACUAUCUAGAGGAUCAGCGGAAGAUUAAGUUUUUUCUAAUUUAUUAAAAAAUGCACCUAAAGGGCAGAAAUUUCUUUCGGUAUGUUACCAAUCCCUAAUAUCCUCAACAUGCUCAGAGAAACUUUCCUUUAAAUCAGGAUGGAAAAAGGAGUUAGCCCGUUCAAUUUCUGAUGAAGAUUGGACGUCCCUGUUAAGAUUCACCACACAAAUCUCAAGAUGUACAAACCAUAUAGAACUAUCAUACAAACUGCUUACUAGAUGGUACUUAUCCUCAGUCCGAUUACAGCAUAUGUACCCAAAUGUCUCUAAUCGUUGUUUGCGAGAAUGUGGGGAGAUCGGCUUACUAUCACAUAUCUGGUGGGAUUGCCAAAAAAUGUAUUGGGUGUGGAAAAAAUUAUAUGAUUUUAUUGAAUCUAAACUUUAGAUCUGCAUUCCCUUUUCUUUAGAGGUAGCACUAUUAAAUAAUUAUCCAAUAACAAUUCCCUUACAAACUAAAAGACUGAUAUAUUUUUUCUUUAUAGCUAUUAAGACUUGUAUUGCUAAAAACUGUAAGAGCACUGAAGUUCCUACAAUGCAAGGUUAUUUAAAAAUGCUUUAAAAUAUAGGUCAAAUGGAAUAUAUGGCAUAUUCGGCUACUAAUUCUUUGUCCAAGUUCUGGAAAAUCUGGGGUCCUAUAUUAGAGGAAAGAAAAAAAGAAGAGGAUGGCUGGCUGAGAAUAAAAUUAAGAAUAGACUUGGAUAAUGACACAGGGACAGGUAUUAACAGUAAUAUAUAUAUAUUUGGAAGUAAGAUGGAUUAGGUUUAUAAUGUAUCAGAAUCAGUUAAAUUAUGAAGUCCCAGGUCUUAAUCUCUAAUCUUUAUCUUUGCUUUUAACCCUAAUUGAAAUGAUGUAUGUAUGUGUGUAUGUUUAUUUAUAUAUAUGUAUUUUUUGGGUGUUAUUUUUCUGUAUUAUUUUGAUAUAUUGUCAUAUUCUUGUCCUUUAUAUAUAUAUAUACUCUAAUAAAAAUAUUUGAAAACAAGUUGUCAGGCUCUUGUGCACUGCGCAUCCAGACAGUUUAGAGGUUAGGCUCUACCCCCGUUAUAUUAGAAUUUAUUAAAGAUAUGGGUCUAUAGAUUGCGGGAUUUGUAGGAUCUUUCCACUUUUCAGUAUCGGGGAAUGGAAGCUUGUAGAAGUUCUUUUGGUGGGCUGGCCUGCUGGCCUAUCUCAUUGAAUAGUACAACUAGAUGUGGUGUUAAAUCAUUAUUAAAUUUCUUUAAAAAAUAGGUUUGUAUAGCUGUCUGGUCCCAGCGCCUUAUUCAACUUAGAUAUAUUAAUUACAUCAGUGACCUCCUGAGCCAGAAACGAUAAGUUUAGUUCCAGUACUUGUUCAUCUGUUAUGUUUGGUAGUUUUUCUAGAUAUUCGGCUAUUUCUGACUCCCUGGAGUCAAACUGGAAAUUGUAUAACUAAGAAUAAAACUUGUUAAAUAAAUGCUUUGUCAAUUGAUAUUGGGAAUCUUUGACUACAGCAUUCUACUAUAACUUUUUUGUAUUCUGGCCCUUCGAUUUUUCAAUCUGUUAGAUAGCAUUUUAUCAGCUUUAUUGCUUUUAGAACACCAUUUUAGAUUCAGUUUUUGUAGAUCAUAGUUAACUUUAGGAAUUAGAAUGGCAUUGAUCUUAUUUGUUGUUUCUGAAAUCUUUGUAGUCACUUCUUUUGUAAGUGACAUUUUAUUUCUAUUGUUUAAAUUAUCCAAUUCAAUGAAGUAAAAAAUGAAAUUUAGUGUAGAAAUCCACACUUCUUUCUCCUGUAACUGGGUGCCCCCAUCUUCACUGUCCCUGUCAGUCAUUGUUAUCAGCUAUGUCCUUAACAAAAGACAGUCAGCAUAGAGAAAACAUACAGAGAAGAGGAGAAAUGAAACAAAGUCUCUAUUUUUGUAAUGUUUGCCAUGACGUUGCAUUAUCUGAACUGGAUUAUAAUGUAAUUUGCUAAAUAUUAUAAUCGUAUUUUUAUAUCAUAUGAAACUGAGCAUCUCACGAUAAAUGUUAACACGGGUUGUUGUUGUUUUUUUGGUUUUUUUUUUUUUAUUCAAUAGUGUAAAUUCCAGAGAAGUAAAAGUUCCCCUUUUAAAGGACCACUAUAGGCACCCAGACCACUUCAGCUUAAUGAGAUGGUCUGGGUGCCUGGUCCAUCUAGGAUUAACCCUUUUUUCUAUAAACAUAGCAGUUUCAGAGAAACUGCUUUGUUUAUAAAUGGGUUAAUCCAGCCUCUAGUGGCUGUCUCACUGACAGCCGCUAGAGGCGCUUGCGUGCUUUUCACUGUGAAAAUCACAGUGAGAAGAUGCCAGCGUCCAUAGGAAAGCAUUGUGAAUGCGCGCGCAGCUACUGCCGUGCAUGUGCAUUCAGCCGAAGAGGAGGAGAAGAGGGAGGAGAGGAGGAGGAUAGCUCCCCGCCCGGCCCCUUCCUUUCCAUCCAGCCUGGCGGGAGGGGGUCCCUGAGGGUGGGGGCACCCUCAGGGCACUAUAGUGCCAGGAAAACGAGUAUGUUUUCCUGGCACUAUAGUGGUCCUUUAAGGAAAACAAGUACAAAUCUAAUAAUUGUUGCAUUACUUUUUACUAUUUGUUUUCUUUUAAAGAGAUAUUUCGUAUCAAAAGAUUACAACUAGCUACAAUAUGCCUGUUAUUUUUUUUUUUCCCUUUCCCUUUCUGAUUGAUCAACAAAACUUUGAGCAUGAACAACUUUUUAACUAGUGUACAACUAAGUACGGUCAGAUGGAUAUGUAAGUAUUGGUCUUGCUAUAUGGACUAUCCACAAAAUCUGAUGUUUCAAUACACAGUCAGUUAAGAAUUGCUGGUUGAAGUUGGGAAUGCAAUCCAAAUGAUAAAAUAAGCAAUAUAAAUUUUAAAAAAAAAUUUUUGUUUCACUAAUUGAAUAAUUUAAGAAUCUAUUAUCUCAUUGGCUUGACUAUGUUGUACGAUGUUACACUCCUAGUAUGUGUAAAAAUGAUUUGAGAGAUGAUUAUGUUUCACAGCUGUUUAACUAUUAUUGAUUGUAUAAUUGAUUGAUUAUAGGAAUUCACAUAUUCUAUCACUUGUUAAUUAUUUUAUGCACCUAUAUAUUGUUUGUAAAGAGAUGUGUUCAGUAGCUUGACAAAGGCCCUAAGGGGUCGAAACGUUGUGUGGUUCUUGGGUCCAAUAAAAAUUGCCUAUCGUUUGGAACAAUUUGGAGUGCCUGGAUUAUUUUCUACAAUUAUAAUUGUUAUCAGCUACGUCCUUAGCAACAGACAGUCAGCAUAGAGAAAACAUACAGAGAAGAGGAGAAAUUAAACAAAAUCUCUAUUUUUGUAAUGUUUGCCAUGGCGUUGCAUUGUCUGAACUGGAUUAUAAUGUAAUUUGCUAAAUUUUAUAAUCGUAUUUUUAUAUCAUAUGAAACUGAGCAUCUCACGAUAAAUGUUAACACGGGUUGUUGUUGGUUUUUAAUUUUUUUUAUUCAAUAGUGUAAAUUCCAGAGAAGUAAAAGUUCCCCUUUAAGGAAAAAAAGUACAAAUCUAAUAAUUGUUUCAUUACUUUUUACUAUUUGUUUUCUUUUAAGGAGAUAUUUUGUAUCAAAAGAUUACAACUAGCUACAAUAUGCCUGUUAUUUUUUUUCCCCUUUUCCUUUCUGAUUGACCAACAAAACUUUGAGCUUGAACAACUUUUUAACUAGUGUAAAACUAAGUACGGUCAGGUGGAUAUGUAAGUAUUGGUCUUGCUAUAUGGACUAUCCACAAAAUCUGAUGUUUCAAUAAACAGUCAGUUGAGAAUUGCUGGAUGAAGUUGGGAAUGUAAUUCAAAUUAUAAGAUAAGCAAUAUAAAUUAAAAAAAAAAAUGUUUUUAUGUAUUUAUAGCCAGAUGAAUGUUUGCAAGACUCUAACCAAUUGGAUUGCACUAUCAAUUUCAGUGAAUAAUUCAUUCAGAGUAAUACUUAUGAGUAACAGGGUUAGCUGGAACAGUCUAGACCAGGGGUGUAACGGCACCCCGGGUAUAGAAGGGGUUAAAGCCGUUUGAGAUAUUUCCUUCCCGAAUACAAAGGCAGCUACCGAACACUCCAAUCAGCCGAACAAGGAAUCAUACGAAAUCCACACUCCAAACAGCCGAACAGGAAAACCAUAUGAAUAAUCCCCCCCAAAUACGAGACAAGGCUCUGUAUUGAGGGUCAAGCAGGAAUCUGGUUUAAUGUGGGCUACCUGCCCGGUAUUUAUGCAGGUCUUCCACCAGGUGGACACUACCCUAGGGGACCUGGUGGAAAACCAUGACAAAAGUAAUACAGUAGCCAAUGAAAACAGUUUAGCGAUAAACACUCCCCUUUAGACAAUGUGGACCCUCCUCUCUAUCCUGGAGAUAACUCAAUUAUCUCAGAGGAUAGAGCAUAACCUCCAUUUUAUACAUGUUAAUAAAAAUACAUAACUUUAAAACUCAUGAACCGAAUCCCCACAUUCAACGAAUCCCCAGAUAGCCUGGAUCUGAGCGCACAAUAUUACCGAAUAGCGCUCAGAUCCCAUACACACAGUUCAAUCGCCAUGGAGCCAAAAUCUUUCACAUAGUCUUUCGUUAUACGAAUGGGCUCCAUGGGAUAGCUAUCUGGGGUGGCUCUGUUCGUAUGAAAAGGUACCGAACAGACGGUUUUCGUAUGAAGAGGGGAACAGAUGAAGGGAGGUCGGCGGCUUUCAGCGGUGUUCAUGUGAAAAUAGUAGCCGUUUUUAGUUCCACAAAAUCGCAGAUGAACACCGCUGGGCGUUCGCAUGUCCAAGAUGGCCACCGCCUCGUGUUCAUUCAUACGAACGAUGACCACCCAGCCGACCAUUAACAAGGGGAAGUGUCUGUGGUUAACCACAACAUUCUAAUGAGGCCAAGAGGUUAACGAGCAGCACACUUCCCCGCUGGGUGGCCGGCCGUUCUGCAAAUAUUUUGGUGAAACGGGGAAAUAACAUGGGGACCGUACGGACAGGGAAAUGCACGAACAAACAGACGAAGUAAUUCCAAAAACAGAGGGAUCUGUCACAAGGGGUUCCCAAUUAAUUUUUCCUGUGGAACCCUUUGACAUAGUGUAUCAACAUCGUGAAACCCCCUCCUCACCCUCCCUUCCCCUCCAGUUGUUAUUUUUUUUUUAUUGCGACAUUUUUUGUAUGUGCCAGUGUGUCAAGAUGUGUGUAUCUGUGUUUGUAUGUGCCAGUGUGUGUAUCUGAGUGUCUUUGUGUAGUGUGUGUGUGUGUGUAUGUAAGACACACAGAUACAAACACAGUGGCACAUAGUGGCACACAGAUACACACACUGACACACAGUGUAUAUCUCUGUGUGUGUGUAUAUCUGUGUGUCACAGUGUGUGCAUCUGUGUGUCAAAGUGUGUGUGCAAAGAUUGCAUUGGGAUUUUAUAUUUUACUUUAAAUAAUGCCACUUGAACAGGUGAAGAUAGGGAUUAUGCAGGCAUUGUUUGUGCUAGUUAUGGCAAGUUAAAAAAUAUGUUUUUUUUAUUGGGGGGUAAGUGGGGUUUAUAAGACAUCUGAAUGGCUGUAAAUCUAGAAUAUCUAUGUAGAAGAAGAAAAAGAGGGAGUAAUGCCUUGAUAUGUUUCUAAGGUAGAUGCCUUCUCAGAGUGAUAUGUGGAGACAGAAAGAUACAGCAGAAUAUAGUGUAGUAUGUCCCACAUACAAUGGCAAAAUAAGAAGUGAAAAUGCACUUACAGAUUUAAAAGCUAAUAUAGUUCUAUUUAGAUACAAUACAAUCCCUGCCUAUGAAUAUAUGGUGUCUUCUAUUAUUAAAGUGCUUCUGUGCAGGUGACCUCCAACCAGGUAUGGUGGCUCAAGAUGAGUUACACCCCACCACCCCACUCACAGGCUUGUAGAUGAAUUGAUAGUAUAUAUAAAAGAACAAAAAUAAAAAAAUAUAGUGCUCACUGGUAUUACUGUACACUAAUAAGAAAAAAUGGAGAGGUAUUCGCAGGUGAGGAGCAAAAAGUGAGUUUUGCGCAAUCUACAACACUCAGGUGAUAUUUUUUUCCCCACCAAAGGAAUUGUGUCCAGGCUCCAAUGGAAAGAUCAGGAUGAAGUCCAAAGGUGUAAUAAAAUUAACUGCUUUAUCAGAUGAACUAGUAUUUAAGGUAAAUAAAAUAAUAAAAGCAGUAUAAAGCAGUAAAAUAAAAAUCCCCCCAAAAAACACUUAUGCAUUGUUCAGAUUGCAUUAGGAUUUUAUAUUUUAAUUUAAAGAAUGCCACUUUGGAUAUCCAUUUUGGAUAUCUUUGGAUGGGCAGAUGUUAGGGACAAUGCAGGCAUUGUAUGAACCAGAUAUGGCAAGUUAAAAAUACAUUUCUUUAUGGUGGUAGGUUAUGUAAGACAUAUGAAUAUUGUAAUUAUUAUUAUUUAUAAAGUGUCAGCAAAUUUCACAGCGCUGUACAAUGGUUAGAGGCAUGGGAUAUGAGGGUUAGAGGUUAGAACCUGUAGAACAUAUAACAGGAAGGCUGUAAAUCAUCUUAUAUUUUAGUAACUUCAAUUCUAAUGUAAUCAUUAGGUAGACAGCACUAUUAUUCAGCAGAGGGGUUGAAUAUGGUAUGUGGAAUAGUGAGUCAGCCAUAUGGCUGUCUCUUGGUGUUAAAUUGACCAGGGCACCCUCGCUUAUUUCAUUUAUAAACUAGACUUUUUCAAUGUAUAGUUCUUUAGAUUGGGAUAUCAAGAACGCCACAAUUGAUAUCCACAAAUUAAAGAACUAACCUGAUUUUGUUUCAGAAACUUUGCAGAUAUCCAGUUUGCUAUUCUUGUAUAGUCUGCUGCCUAUUUGUUUUAUCAUUUAUAUUUUGUUAUGAUUUUGACUAACAUAAUGCAAGUCUUUGUCUCCAUAUAAGUGUUUUUCUGUCUCUGAUUUUUGGUUCAUGUGCUGAUCAUUCACUUGGCGGAGAGAUGACAGUGUCAUCUUGGAAAUGGGGCUUAAAUAUGUUUGAUCAAGAUUAGUUCAAUAUCUGUCUACUUAUAGGGUUUAUCUAGAUCAUGUGAUCAUAGUGUAUAUAAGGGUCUUAUCUGAUUAAUUUAAUGAUAGUGCAGUGGUCAGAAUGGCCCAAACAAAUAAUUGUUCCAAGUCUGGAGAAGUGUGUUGUCCAUGAGACCAGUCGACUCUGGGUGGCAGUUUGAGCCGAUUGCAAUAUUCAGCUUUGUUGCUGAUUCCAUCUUUAAUGAACUUGGCAUCCAGUCAAGAGAAUUAUACUUCAUUAAUCUCACAUUCACCACCUAGAUGUGAGUAUCAGUCUGCUAGAUGUCUCCAUUUACAUUACGUGCAUUUAGUGUAUCCUCAAUGCAUUCUUAUCAUUGCCCUUGAAGAAGCCUAGAAUUAUUCACUGAGCAUUAAAUAUGCGCUUCGAGAGAUGUCUCGUUCUGUUAAACCAAUUGCUUCUACUAUGUGAUCACUGAGCUUUGCUUUGUAUUUGUGAAUGCAAACCUAGCAGAUUCCUCUUCCUAAUUUGACUAUGUCAGUAACGGAGAUUGAGCAUCAAUGUUAUGACUGAAUAACAAAUUAUAUCUUCUAUGCAUCAAAGAAAAGUGCAAAAUUUCCAAAAGAGCUUUUUUUCGUUUGGGUUCUGCACAGAGUUUGCUCUAUUUGUGUUUUAUUUUUUUUGUUUUUCUGUUAGUAAUUCUAUUAAAGAAACACUUUAGAGUUAGGAAUAAAAAAGAUGUAUUCCUAACACUAUAGUGUUACUCUUACCCCACGCUCCCCCUCGUCCAUGAAAAAGUAAAAAAAAAAUGUUUCUUUCACUUACCUUAUUCCAGAGCCAGUGUCCCUCAGUGCUGGGUCACAUGUCUCCCCCGUCAACAUCAGCUGAUGGGGGGAACCUAACGCAUGUGUGGCGAGCACAGCACACGCAUUAGGGCAGUCCCAUAGGAAAGCAUUGACUUAAUCCUUUCCUAUGGGGUUUUGCGUGACACUGGAUGUCCUCGAACAAAGUGUGAGGAUGUCCAGCCUCGUUUCACAGGGUUAAACUCUGCUAUACUUAAGGAAGCGCCACUAAUGGCUAUGUGGUAGAAAGCCACCAGAGGCAGUCUUAACAUUGUAAAGUAAAUAUUGCAGUUUCUCCAAAAUGGCAAUAUUUACAUUGCAGGGUUAAGGGAACAGGGACACUGCACCCAGACAACUUCAGUAAGAUGUAGUGAUCUGGGUGUCUAUAGUGUCCUCUUAACUAUUUUUGCAGUAGGAUUCGAAGCCUGUAAGAUUUUUAUUUUAUUUUCUUAAACUACUUUUAAACUUAAAAAAAAAUAAAAAAUCUGGAAAAAGACAUUUCACUUAAAAAAACACACUGGUGCAAAAAUGUAUCAAAUGAACCUUCUAUGUUGCAAAGCUGCAUAUUAAUUAUGGCUGGUUAAAGGGUUAUUCUAACCGCCAUGACUACUUCUGCUUUAAGAAGUGGUCAUGGUGGUAGGAGUCUGCAUUUGAAAUGUGUAGCAUUUCUGUGUGAAAAGCUGCAUAUACUGAGAUAUUUGCACUUUUAUGCCGGGGCAAGGUGUACAUGGUACAUGUGACACAUGGAUAAAAUACGUCUGUUAUCAGAGCGCACUACACUCUGGUGACAGAUGUCCCUUUCCUCCCUUGUUUGAGCCUCUGUGAUCUUAAAUUGCUGUUUCCCUCUCUCUGUCUCCUUGCCUGUGUCCAGCCUCACUCCCUACCUCAGAGAUCCUGCGUGCCCUCUGAGUCAGUAAAAUAGGCCAGUCAAAUGCUUCUCUAUAAGAAGCAUUUGAUUGGACCACGAGCUGGCAGCAGUGACAUAGAUGGAGGCAUGGAAACCAGCACAGGGAGUUUUGAUUGCUGCUGGAUUCCAGGUAAGUAUGUAAUACCAGUACCAAUAUUUAACUUGCCACAGUGUCCUUCAUCAACCAUUGUUUAGAUGUGCAAAUUAAGGAUAACUUUACCCUCUCCAAUAUUUUAAUAUAAAAUGUGUUGUGCCAUAAAAAAAUUCCCCUCUGACAUCACUUGCAAACCUCACAAUCCAAUCACAGCCACGGGUGCCCAAAGGUUACAGCUAUGCAUACUAUGUGUGUUCAUGGGGCUGAUCAGUGGUGUGGGUGGCAAAAAGGUAGGACGUGGCUUGUUUAGAAUAGAAUAGGCAGUGAGCAUGCUGUGUGUGAUAUAAGCAAGCAGUCCGUGCCCUGGUAGUGAGCUGUUUGUAACGAGAUCUGUCCAUGUGUAUAUAUUUACUCAUCAUUUUAAUGAUGUCACAUGGUGCAUAUUAAGUGUACCAUAGGUUUGGGGGGAAAAUAAGAUUCUAAAACUUUUAAUUUAGUCUUAACCCCUUUAGUCUGUGCUUCUGUUUCUUUAAUAGGAAAAUGGACUGAAGAUGUAUAUAUAGUAACUCAAAGUGUCAUUUGUUGCUUCCUCUACAUUCAGUAUGCAGCAGGAGUUGUGGACUGUCAAUAAACUACAUGGUGGUAACUGUGUAUAUUAAAUUGUAUUUCAUACAUGUAUUUUUUUUAUUUUUAUUGUACAAAGCGACACUGAGCUAUAUUUAAAAUCACAUGUUCACAUUACUAGUAAUGGAUACAUGUUUAGAUUGAUGAUGCAAUCCCUGUCUGCUCGAUUAAGACAGCUGCCAAUACCUAGUUUUAGGACAAAGUGUCACAGCAGUUAUCCCUGUGUCAUCUUCUAUCCCCAAAAAACAAGGGGUCCACCUUUUUUCUUCAGUAUUGUGUGGGCUAUCUACUCAUUUAUCUGAGAAAUAAACUCGCAUUUACAUAGAGACAUGUUUUCACAUUUUAUUUUAUUAUAACCAAUGAUUAUGGAAAGUGCUUGCAGACGAUUAAAAUGUUUAAUGGAGAUCUUUUGUAAUUUUAGGUUAGACAGAGGAGUACAUUGGAUUUCCCGACCAAGAUGGUAAUCACUGGUGGAAAUGAUGAAGAAGACAAAAACAGUGAAGAGAAGGAAAGUAAAGAAGAAACCAUUCUGGCAAUGCUUGGAAUUAUUGGGACUAUACUCAACUUAAUUGUUAUUAUUUUUGUCUACAUUUAUACAACAUUGUAAAGCGCAGGAAAAAAACAACUAUUCCACAUUUUUUUCAACAACAGCGUAAUGAACAGCAACUAGCUAAUCGACGAGGGUGUGGAAUGCAGCAAAACACCGCUUUACUGCAUAGACAAGGACUAAUGGUUGGUGACUGCAAACACAAUAAACUUCAGAAAAGCAAUGCUGGACAUAUUGUCUGUUAUUACCAUUGUAUUUAUCACAAUUAUUAUAUGAUACACCAUGGAUGGGAUAAUUUAUACCAGAACAUGUGUCCUACACAAAUAACAUCACAAUUCUGCCACUUAAACUUGUUAUGUAUUUUGUUCAUAUAUGGCCACGUGAACGAUAUUUAAGAUUGCCA
rnacentral:lncRNA from 1 species